CCCUGUAACCCUAUGAGCACACUGUUUACCCUCUGAACCUGUUUUUGUAUGUAUCCUGUAUCUACCAGAUGAUGUUUGUAUAUAUAUUAUGUACAUCUACCACAUGCAUGCGGUGUAUAUCAACCACUUGUUGUUUCCCUUCCCCUUCUGCCACACAACCCCCACCCCCCCUUUCUUUCUCCUCCUGGCCGACCUCAAGCAGAUGGGUCCCCCCUUAUGUGCUGCGGUUCUGCUUAACGUCCCUACCUGAUUAACAGGGAGUUUUUCUUUGCCCCUGUUGCCAUUGUGCUUGC